rnacentral:rRNA from 1 species
ACCGUAAACAAUUAAUUUACACCUAUCAGCGCCAGGGAAUUACGAGCAAUGCUUAAAACCCAAAGGAUUUGACGGUGUCCCACCCAGCUAGAGGAGCCUGUUCUAUAAUCGAUGAUCCCCGCUACACCCGACCAUUUCUAGCUCAUCAUUCUGUAUACCUCCGUCAAAAGCUUACCAUGUGAACCCUCUUCAGUAGGCUCAAAGAUACAACACCCAUCAUCACGUCAGGUCGAGGUGCAACUUAAGAGAUGGGAAGUGAUUGGCUACCUUUUCUAAAUUAAAACAAACAAAAGGUUAUGUCAAAUCCUGGCCGUGAAGGUGGAUUUAGUAAUAAAAAAAAAUUUUAUUGUUCUUUUUAACCCGGGUCUGGGACGUGUACCCCCCGCCCCUCCCCCUCUUCGAUUGUCCAUGAUCCUGUCCCCAACCCUUUAUUAUUUUUAAGAAAAUGCAAGUCGAAACACUGUAAUUGUACUGGAAAGUGCUCUUGGAUUAUA